rnacentral:rRNA from 1 species
CAGCAGCCGCGGGAAUACGUAGGGUGCAAGCGUUAAUCGGAAUUACUGGGCGUAAAGCGUGCGCAGGCGGUUAUAUAAGUCAGAUGUGAAAUCCCCGGGCUCAACCUGGGAACUGCAUUUGAGACUGUAUGGCUAGAGUGUGUCAGAGGGGGGUAGAAUUCCACGUGUAGCAGUGAAAUGCGUAGAUAUGUGGAGGAACACCGGUGGCGAAAGCGGCUCUCUGGUCUGUCACUGACGCUGAAGCUCGAAAGCGUGGGUAGCGAACAGGAUUAGAUACCCCAGUAGUCCCUGUCUCUUAUAC